GGAAGGAUCAUUACCACACCUAAAAACUUUCCACGUGAACUGUCGUUAUUUGUUGUGCGCUCUCUGCGGUGUCGGUGGCGUCUGCUGGCUUUGUUGCUGGCGGGUGCGAGCCGGAUGCGGAGGCUGAACGAAGGUCGAGUUGCUUUGCUCUCGGCUGACUUAUUUUUCAAACCCAAUACCAAACUUACUGAUUAUACUGUGAGAACGAAAGUUCUUGCUUUUAACUAGAUAACAACUUUCAGCAGUGGAUGUCUAGGCUCGCACAUCGAUGAAGAACGCUGCGAACUGCGAUACGUAAUGCGAAUUGCAGAAUUCAGUGAGUCAUCGAAAUUUUGAACGCAUAUUGCACUUCCGGGUUAUGCCUGGAAGUAUGUCUGUAUCAGUGUCCGUAAAUCAACCUUGCCUUUCUUCCUUCUGUGUAGUCAGUGGAGGAUGUGGCAGACGUGAAGUGUCUCGCUGUUGCUGGUUUGUGGUCAUUUUGGCUGCGAAUACAGUUUGCGAGUCCUUUUAAAUGGACACGACUUUCUCUUUUUUGUUUCUGCGAGGUGCUGUGCUCGAACGCGGUGGUUUUCGGAUCGCUCGCGGCAGUUGGCGACUUCGGUGAAUGCAUUAUGGAGUGGACCUCGAUUCGCGGUAUGUUGGGCUUCGGCUGGACAAUGUUGCUUAUUGUGUGUUUGUUCCGCGUUCGCCUUGAGGUGUACUUUCUGCUGUGUGCUUGAACUGGGAUCUGCUUUGUUAGUAGUGCGCGGUCAUCGUUAUUCGCGGAGACAUCUGUUGUUGCGCACGCAUUUUGUGUGUGUUUGAGCAGAAGAGAGGUUUGAAUUUGGGAAAUCAGUGUACUCUGGCCUUAAUUGGCGUGUGUACAUCUCAAUUGGACCUGAUAUCAGACAAGACUACCCGCUGAACUUAAGCAUAUUAAUAAGCGGAGGAAAAGAAACUAACCAGGAUUCCCCUAGUAACGGCGAGUGAAGCGGGAUGAGCUCAAGCUUAAAAUCUCUGUGCCAGUUUGGCAUGGCGAAUUGUAGUCUAUAGAGGCGUUGUCAGUGCAGCUGUGCGGGGUAAGUUCCUUGGAAGAGGACAGCAUCGAGGGUGAUACUCCCGUUUGUACCUGUGCGGCUUGCGCGUACGACACGUUUUCUUCGAGUCGCGUUGUUUGGGACUGCAGCGCAAAGUAGGUGGUAAAUUCCAUCUAAAGCUAAAUAUUGGUGCGAGACCGAUAGCGAACAAGUACCGUGAGGGAAAGAUGAAAAGAACUUUGAAAAGAGAGUUAAAGAGUACCUGAAACUGCUGAAAGGGAAGCGAAUCGUAUCCAGUGUCUAUAAUCUGCGGCAUAUUUCAUUGGCGGCGGUGCGCGUGCUUUUGCGUCGGAAGCGGCUUUUGUUGCUCUGUGCUUUUGCUGUGCGUGGUGUUGCUGGUGCCCUGUGUUGCGGUGGGACGUCAGAGUCAGUUUGUAUGCUGCGGGAAAUGGCUGCCGAGGAGGUAGGUCGAGAUUUCGGUCUUGGCUGUUAUAUCUUGGUGGUUUGUUGUCGUGGUUGAGACUGAGGUGCCUACAAUGUGCUUUUGAGUGUACCGGGUUCUCAUUUGGUGGACUGUUUGGAUAGCUUGCUAUGCUUGUGGUUUUUUCAUCGGGUGAUUGAGUCUGGUGGUAACUUAUUGCCGUUCGGGACUUUGACGAAAUGGAGCGAUUCGGCCCGUCUUGAAACACGGACCAAGGAGUCUAACAUGUGUGCAAGUGUUAGGGUGUGGAAACCCGAGCGCGUAAUGAAAGUAAAGGGUGGCUUUAGCUGCCUGAGGUAGGAAACCUUUGUUCUCAGAGGUGGCACUAUCGACCGAUCAAGAACCUUCGUGGUGAAAGAUUUGAGUAUGAGCACAUAUGUUGGUACCCGAAAGAUGGUGAACUAUGCCUGAGUAGGGUGAAGCCAGGGGAAACUCUGGUGGAAGCUCGUAGCGAUUCUGACGUGCAAAUCGAUCGUCAAACUUGGGUAUAGGGGCGAAAGACUAAUCGAACCAUCUAGUAGCUGGUUCCCUC
rnacentral:misc_RNA from 1 species